UACGGAGGGGGCUAGCGUUGUUCGGAAUUACUGGGCGUAAAGCGCACGUAGGCGGCUUUGUAAGUUAGAGGUGAAAGCCCGGAGCUCAACUCCGGAAUUGCCUUUAAGACUGCAUCGCUAGAAUCAUGGAGAGGUGAGUGGAAUUCCGAGUGUAGAGGUGAAAUUCGUAGAUAUUCGGAAGAACACCAGUGGCGAAGGCGGCUCACUGGACUGGUAUUGACGCUGAGGUGCGAAAGCGUGGGGAGCAAACAGG
rnacentral:rRNA from 1 species